UUUAGUACAACCAAUUAUAUUACAUUUAUUUUCUUAUUUUAGAUGAACUUUCUUACUUCAAUUGGAGAAGAUGAGAAACAACUUACAGCGGCAAUCUUAAUACAGCUAAUGGCCAAAGAAGUACGUUUUUCAUACUCAGUGUAUGGAAUGAAACAAAAACGUCCUGCAAGGUCGUUAUAGAGUUGCGUUUAGUCGUUUAUCGUUGUAUUCGUUCAUUUCGAAAUUGCUACUGACAAAAGUAUUAAAGAAAAAAUUGGCAGCUUUCUGACGACGGCCAUUAAUAGAGAUUAUGGAA
rnacentral:lncRNA from 1 species